GGGUAUAUAGCUCAGUGGUAGAGCAUCUGCUUAGCAUGCAAGAAGUCCUGGGUUCAAUCCCCAGGACCUCCA
rnacentral:tRNA from 1 species